CACCCGGGCGGGGUGCUUACACAUGCAGUCGAACGGUGAAGCAGAGCUUGCUCUGUGGAUCAGUGGCGAACGGGUGAGUAACACGUGAGCAACCUGCCCCGGACUCUGGGAUAACAGUUGGAAACAGCUGCUAAUACCGGAUACGAGCUGCGAAGGCAUCUUCGGCAGCUGGAAAGAAUUUCGGUCUGGGAUGGGCUCGCGGCCUAUCAGCUUGUUGGUGAGGUAAUGGCUCACCAAGGCGUCGACGGGUAGCCGGCCUGAGAGGGUGACCGGCCACACUGGGACUGAGACACGGCCCAGACUCCUACGGGAGGCAGCAGUGGGGAAUAUUGCACAAUGGGCGAAAGCCUGAUGCAGCGACGCCGCGUGAGGGAUGACGGCCUUCGGGUUGUAAACCUCUUUUAGCAGGGAAGAAGCGAAAGUGACGGUACCUGCAGAAAAAGCGCCGGCUAACUACGUGCCAGCAGCCGCGGUAAUACGUAGGGCGCAAGCGUUAUCCGGAAUUAUUGGGCGUAAAGAGCUCGUAGGCGGUUUGUCGCGUCUGCUGUGAAAUCCCGAGGCUCAACCUCGGGCCUGCAGUGGGUACGGGCAGACUAGAGUGCGGUAGGGGAGAUUGGAAUUCCUGGUGUAGCGGUGGAAUGCGCAGAUAUCAGGAGGAACACCGAUGGCGAAGGCAGAUCUCUGGGCCGUAACUGACGCUGAGGAGCGAAAGGGUGGGGAGCAAACAGGCUUAGAUACCCUGGUAGUCCACCCCGUAAACGUUGGGAACUAGUUGUGGGGUCCAUUCCACGGAUUCCGUGACGCAGCUAACGCAUUAAGUUCCCCGCCUGGGGAGUACGGCCGCAAGGCUAAAACUCAAAGGAAUUGACGGGGACCCGCACAAGCGGCGGAGCAUGCGGAUUAAUUCGAUGCAACGCGAAGAACCUUACCAAAGGCUUGACAUAUAGAGGAAACGGCUGGGAAACAGUCGCCCCCGCAAGGUCUCUAUACAGGUGGUGCAUGGUUGUCGUCAGCUCGUGUCGUGAGAUGUUGGGUUAAGUCCCCGCAACGAGCGCACCCUCGUUCUAUGUGCCAGCACGUAAUGGUGGACUCAUGGGAUACUGCCGGGGUCAACUCGGAGGAAGGUGGGGAUGACCGUUC
rnacentral:rRNA from 1 species